rnacentral:lncRNA from 1 species
ACUCUGUUGUUUUUGUGACGCUUAGUUCUUAAGCAGACAGGAGGCCGCUCGCUGUUUUCCUUGUUGCUGUUGCACUCACUCAUCUCUUGAGCAGUGAGGUCAUCUUCCAAUAUGAUCUCCAGGGGAUCAAAAAUACUGAUCCUGUGCAAGCGCCCUUCAAUUUCUAUCUCUACCAUCCUUUGAGCUUGAGCGUAGGUCAGCGUUUCUCGCGUAGGGGAGUGUU